CCCUUAGAUGCUCUGGGCCGCACGCGCGCUACACUGGUCGAUGCAACGAGUUUCUUUCCUUGGCCGACAGGCCUGGGCAAUCUUUGAACAUCGAUCGUGAUCGGGAUAGAUUCUUGUAAUUUUUGAUCUUAAACGAGGAAUUCCUAGUAAACGCAAGUCAUCAGCUUGCAUUGAUUACGUCCCUGCCCUUUGUACACACCGCCCGUCGCACCUACCGAUUGAAUGGUCCGGUGAAAUCUCCGGACUGGCGUGAGUCGGAGCAAUCUGACAAACGCCGGAAAGUUGAUUAAACCUUACCAUUUAGAGGAAGGUGAAGUCGUAGCA
rnacentral:rRNA from 1 species